rnacentral:rRNA from 1 species
UACCAGCACCCCGAGUGGUCGGGACGUUUAUUGGGCCUAAAGCAUCCGUAGCCGGUUCUACAAGUCUUCCGUUAAAUCCAACUGCUUAACAGGUGGGCUGCGGAAGAUACUAUGGAGCUAGGAGGCGGGAGAGGCAAGCGGUACUCGAUGGGUAGGGGUAAAAUCCGUUGAUCCAUUGAAGACCACCAGUGGCGAAGGCGGCUUGCCAGAACGCGCUCGACGGUGAGGGAUGAAAGCUGGGGGAGCAAACCGG